GCUUCGGUAGAGUGAAGGUUAUGAAAGCGGCGGACGGGUGAGUAACGCGUGGGUAACCUGCCCUAUACAGAGGGAUAGCAGCUGGAAACGGCUAUUAAUACCUCAUAAACACACAGUGUCGCAUGGCACAGGGUGAAAAGAUUUAUCGGUAUAGGAUGGACCCGCGUCUGAUUAGCUAGUUGGUGAGGUAAUGGCUCACCAAGGCGACGAUCAGUAGCCGACCUGAGAGGGUGAUCGGCCACACUGGGACUGAGACACGGCCCAGACUCCUACGGGAGGCAGCAGUGGGGAAUAUUGCACAAUGGGCGCAAGCCUGAUCCAGCAAUGCCGCGUGGGUGAAGAAGGCCUGCGGGUUGUAAAGCCCUUUCGGCUGGGAAGAAAAGCUGUUAGCGAAUAGCUGACAGUCUUGACGUUACCAGAGGAAGAAGCACCGGCAAACUCUGUGCCAGCAGCCGCGGUAAUACAGAGGGUGCGAGCGUUAAUCGGAAUUACUGGGCGUAAAGGGUGCGUAGGCGGUUACUUAAGUCGGGUGUGAAAUCCCUGGGCUUAACCUAGGAAUUGCACUCGAUACUGUGUAGCUAGAGUAUGGUAGAGGGUAGUGGAAUUCCGGGUGUAGCGGUGAAAUGCGUAGAUAUCCGGAGGAACACCAGUGGCGAAGGCGGCUACCUGGACCAAUACUGACGCUGAGGCACGAAAGCGUGGGGAGCAAACAGGAUUAGAUACCCUGGUAGUCCACGCCCUAAACGAUGAGAACUAGCUGUUGGGAGUAACUGACUCUUAGUAGCGAAGCAAACGCGGUAAGUUCUCCGCCUGGGGAGUACGGCCGCAAGGUUAAAACUCAAAUGAAUUGACGGGGGCCCGCACAAGCGGUGGAGCAUGUGGUUUAAUUCGAUGCAACCCGAAGAACCUUACCUGGCCUUGACAUCCUGCGAAUCCCUGAGAGAUUAGGGGAGUGCCUUCCGGGAGCGCGGAGACAGGUGCUGCAUGGCUGUCGUCAGCUCGUGUCGUGGAGAUGUUGGGGUUAAGUCCCGCAACGAG
rnacentral:rRNA from 1 species